rnacentral:rRNA from 1 species
AUUGAACGCUGGCGGCAGGCCUAACACAUGCAAGUCGAGCGGAGCGGCGGACGGGUGAGUAAUGCCUAGGAAUCUGCCUGGUAGUGGGGGAUAACGUCCGGCAACGGGCGCUAAUACCGCAUACUAUCAGAUGAGCCUAGGUCGGAUUAGCUAGUUGUUGGGGUAAAGGCUUACCAAGGCGACGAUCCGUAACUGGGCUGAGAGGAUGAUCAGGCACCGUGGAACUGAGACACGGUCCAGACUCCUACGGGAGGCAGCAGUGGGGAAUAUUGGACAAGGGGCGAAAGCCUGAUCCAGCCAUGCCGCGUGUGUGAAGAAGGUCUUCGGAUUGUAAAGCCCUUUCAGCGGGGAGGCGUUACCCGCAGAAGAAGCACCGGCUAACUCCGUGCCAGCAGCCGCGGUAAUAC